UUAUCGGCAAAGGAUGGGCCUGCGUCUGAUUAGCUGGUUGGUGGGGUAACGGCUCACCAAGGCGACGAUCAGUAGCCGACCUGAGAGGGUGAUCGGCCACAUUGGAACUGAGACACGGUCCAAACUCCUACGGGAGGCAGCAGUGGGGAAUAUUGCACAAUGGGGGAAACCCUGAUGCAGCAACGCCGCGUGAAGGAAGAAGGCCUUCGGAUCGUAAACCUCUGUCAGAAGGGAAAAAUGUACAGUGCCCCAAUCAACACUGUAUUGAUGGUACCUUCAGAGGAAGCACCGGCUAACUCCGUGCCAGCAGCCGCGGUAAUACGGAGGGUGCAAGCGUUAAUCGGAAUUACUGGGCGUAAAGCGCGCGUAGGUUGUUUUGGAAGUCAGAGGUGUAAUCCCACGGCUUAACCCGUGGAACUGCCUUUGAUACUGCAUAACUUGGAUCCGGGAGAGGACAGCGGAAUUCCAGGUGUAGGAGUGAAAUCCGUAGAUAUCUGGAAGAACAUCAGUGGCGAAGGCGGCUGUCUGGACCGGUAUUGACGCUGAGGCGCGAAAGCGUGGGUAGCAAACAGGAUUAGAUACCCUGGUAGUCCACGCUGUAAACGAUGGAUGCUGGAUGUCGGGGCGCAAGCUUCGGUGUCGUAGUUAACGCGAUAAGCAUCCCGCCUGGGGACUACGGUCGCAAGGCUGAAACUCAAAGAAAUUGACGGGGGCCCGCACAAGCGGUGGAGUAUGUGGUUUAAUUCGAAGCAACGCGAAGAACCUUACCUAGACUUGACAUCUCCUGCAUUACCCUUAAUCGGGGAAGUUCCUUCGGGGACAGGAAGACAGGUGGUGCAUGGUUGUCGUCAGCUCGUGUCGUGAGAUGUUGGGUUAAGUCCCGCAACGAGCGCAACCCUUAUUGUUAGUUGCUACCAUUUAGUUGAGCACUCUAGCGAGACUGCCCGGGUUAACCGGGAGGAAGGUGGGGAUGACGUCAAAUCAUCAUGCCCCUUAUGUCUAGGGCUACACACGUGCUACAAUGGCAAGUACAAAGAGACGCAAUACCGCGAGGUGGAGCAAAACUCAAAAACUUGUCUCAGUUCGGAUUGUAGGCUGAAACUCGCCUACAUGAAGCUGGAGUUGCUAGUAAUCGCGAAUCAGCAUGUCGCGGUGAAUACGUUCCCGGGCCUUGCACACACCGCCCGUCA
rnacentral:rRNA from 1 species